CUGCUGAAAAGGUCAACUCCUUUGUCUGGUACUUGACUGCAGACUGCUGCAGUGGAAAUGUCCUGUAGGUGCAGGCCAGGAGGGUCACCAACCCGCCCUGCUGUUAGCAAUGGAAUGUUAGAAGAGUUUCUCUUGGCUCUGUAUGCUGAGGUUUAAGUGAUGACGUAAACUGCCACCAUGGGGCAAGGGGUGGCUUCCUCCAAGGCAACACCACCUCAGCCUCCCUGUGUGUUUUCCAUUUCAACACAGAUGCUAUAGUUUGUGUUUUUUUUAUUAGAGGGUUACUUCUGUUAUUCAACCCGAAAUGCAGUGGGUCUAAUCAAAGCAAGCUUCUUCAUUCGUGGAAAGUCGGCCCCCAAGGGUAUGUGACAUUUACCCGGCAUGCAUUUACUGAAGCCUGCUGCUGGGAAUUCCUCCCUCAAAACAAAGUCGCGAGGGACCGGAGUCUUAAAAACCUGUUACUCGCUGGUACAUGAUAGUAGUUUCAUAGAAGAAAAAAGCCGCAGGACUCUCCCACUGCAGUUCUACCUGUCAAUCAAAAUGGCUUCAUCUGACUUUAACGGUGCUUGGCAGUUUUUUUCAGUUUCACAUAAAGAGGUGAAAAAAGGGAAGAAAGUAGUGGAGGUUUCAGAAGUGCACUGUUGCCAAAUAAAGGGUUAUGCUAUGAUUCCCAGAG
ensembl:lncRNA